AUGGUUUCCGUGUUAUUCGUCACAACGGCGAAAACAAUUUAUGGUGCAAGGGUUCAUAGGAUGGAUUUCUCGAAGCGACAAUGGAGAAAAGUGUAUGAUCUUGGUGAUCGAGCGUUCCUCUUGUCCCUGUUCAACUCUGGUGCUCUCUGCUCUGUCGGCGAGUCUGGACUGCGGGAGAACUGCAUCUACAUGGCGUAUCCUUGGGAGCAGACCUUGCACAUUUUCAGUGUAGAAGAUGGUAGUAUGGACACGCAGAAGCUGGAUGAAGCUCCGUCCUCGGAUAAAGUGGACAGUUGUAUACCC
rnacentral:rRNA from 1 species